GAGUUUGAUCUUGGCUCAGGACGAACGCUGGCGGCGUGCUUAACACAUGCAAGUCGAACGAUGAAGCCCUUCGGGUGGAUUAGUGGCGAACGGGUGAGUAACACGUGGGCAAUCUGCCCUUCACUCUGGGACAAGCCCUGGAAACGGGGUCUAAUACCGGAUAACACCGGCUUCCGCAUGGGAGCUGGUUGAAAGCUCCGGCGGUGAAGGAUGAGCCCGCGGCCUAUCAGCUUGUUGGUGGGGUAAUGGCCUACCAAGGCGACGACGGGUAGCCGGCCUGAGAGGGCGACCGGCCACACUGGGACUGAGACACGGCCCAGACUCCUACGGGAGGCAGCAGUGGGGAAUAUUGCACAAUGGGCGAAAGCCUGAUGCAGCGACGCCGCGUGAGGGAUGACGGCCUCGGUUGUAACU
rnacentral:rRNA from 1 species